rnacentral:rRNA from 1 species
GACGAACGCUGGCGGCGUGCUUAACACAUGCAAGCCGAACGGAAAGGCCCUGCUUUUGUGGGGUGCUCGAGUGGCGCACGGGUGAGUAACGCGUGAGUAACCUGCCCUUGACUUUGGGAUAACUCCAGGAAACUGGGGCUAACACCCGAUAGGACCUCCUGCUGCAUGGUGGGGGUUGGAAAGUUUCGGCGGUUGGGGAUGGACUCGCGGCUUAUCGGCCUGUUGGUGGGGUAGUGGCCUAACAAGGCCUUGACGGGUAGCGGGCCUGCGAGGGUGAACGGCGACAUGGGGAAGACUAUACGGGCCAGAAGCCGAAGGGAAGCAGCAGUAGGGAAUGUUACACUAUGGGCGGAAGCCUGCUGCCACAACGCCGGGUGCGGGAUGAGUGCCUUCGUGUUGUCAGCCGAUAAAACACGUGACGGAGCGUAAUUGACGGUAAUAGGUGAAGAAGCAACGGCUAACUACGUG